rnacentral:rRNA from 1 species
UUCCGGUUGAUCCUGCCGGACCCCACUGCUAUCGAGGUGGGACUAAGCCAUGCUAGUCGAACGCACAGAACUAUGUCUGUGAGUGGCAUACUGCUCAGUAACACGUAGCUAACCUACCCUUCGGACGAGGACAACCCCGAGAAAUUGGGGCUAAUCCACGAUAGAUGUGAUGUCCUGGAAUGGUAUUACGUCCAAAAGUAUAUCAUACAUGUUUGAUUUACGCCUAAGGAUGGGGCUGCGGCUGAUCAGGCAGUUGGUGAGGUAAUGGCUCACCAAACCAUUGACCAGUACGGGCCAUGAGAGUGGUAGCCCGGAGAUGGACACUGAGACAAGGGUCCAGGCCCUACGGGGCGCAGCAGGCGCGAAACCUCCUCAAUGCACUAACGUGCGAAGGGGUUACCUCGAGUGCUAUCUGAAGAAGGUGGCUUUUCCAUGGUCUAAAAAGCCUAGGGAAUAAGAGGGGGGCAAGACUGGUGUCAGCCGCCGCGGUAACACCAGCCCCUCGAGUGGUGGGGAUGAUUAUUUGGCCUAAAGCGUCCGUAGCCGGCCGGAUAAGUUUCCCGUUAAAUCCAAUGUCUCAAGCGUUGGACUGCGGGAAAUACUGUCUGGCUAGAGAGGGGGAGAGGUCAGCGGUAUUCUGGGGGUAGGGGCGUAAUCCUUUGAUCCCCGGAGGACCACCAGUGGCGAAGGCUGCUGACUAGAACACGUCUGACGGUCAGGGACGAAAGCUGGGGUAGCGAACCGGAUUAGAUACCCGGGUAGUCCCAGCCGUAAACGAUGCAUGCUAGGUGUUGGGUUGGCCACGAGCCACCCCAGUGCCGCAGGGAAGCCGUUAAGCAUGCCGCCUGGGAAGUACGGUCGCAAGAUUGAAACUUAAAGGAAUUGGCGGGGGAGCACCACCAGGCGUGAAGCCUGCGGUUUAAUUGGAGUCAACGCCGGG